GUUGUUUUGUUUUGUUUCUGAGCGAGGUGUGUUUUUAUUCUCCCGCGUGUUGAGCUGAAUUCAAUACCAGUUUUCACCCUUCUUGCGUUUCCUUUUCCGCAUCCGCCCUUCCGCCUUGCGCGCCCCUAAUCUGCCCCCAUCUCGGGCGCUGGGCCAGGCGCAGGUGAGCGCUCGCGGUUGCGAAUGCGGCUGGCGAUCAGGACGCUGCAGGGACACAGGGGAGACGGCAAGGGCGGCAAGGGCGAAGCUUCUCCAGAUCAAGAUCUGCCAGCGCCCCUGCCUCUGCUUUAUCUCGGGGCAGCCGUGGCUUCCUGCCUUUCCACCCACUCUCUGCAACCUGGGUGGGUUUCAUUUCAGGGUAAAGUGAAUUAACUUCUCCCUGGUAUGUCUAAAUCUGGGAGGUGUGCGUGAGGAGGGGAGGGAGCUGUUGGCCAGGACUUACUUGACCCUGACAAACACCACUUGGAGAGCAAGAAGUUACAUCUACAAGGAAGUCCGAGGCCUUGAAGCUUUACUGAGGCCCAUGGUGGGAUGGGGUGCAGGUGCCCAUAUUUCAGUUUCCCAAGAACUUCCAAAGCCUCGCGCUGGAAGGCACGGUGCACCAUGGGGGGAGCAGACCCACCUGCAACGGCUUUGUGCAUGUUACUGUGCCUUUUCUCGUCUCUACAGCAGGGCCGAGGGCCCCUGUAUCACGUGUUGGGAGCACCAGACAAGAAUCACCAGGACUCUGAACGGUGCUGAGCCCUCUGUCGCUCUGACAAGCACGGGACCAAAGGUGUGGCUGCAUGGAUGGUCUCAUUUGAGGUUCAUCCUGUGAAGGGCAGUUGAGAUGGGAGAAACUGAGCCAGGUGUGCUGGCAUAGCUUGGCCCCCUGCGUGAAGCGCUGGAGCUGGGAUUCCCACCCGGGCUAUCUGAGCCCAGAGCCUGCGCUUGGAAGCUCUUGGGCACUGUGCCUGGCAUCCGGCCAGCGUCCGAUGGAAGGAGGCACUUCUCGAUGUUUGAAGGAAGACCGGGCAUGUCCCAGCCCUACUACCUGCUAGCCUCCUUUAUGAGUUGACUUUAAUUCCAGCGUUCGUGGGGGAAGCCUGUGGCGUCUGUCACCGGAAGCACUUUUAUUGGAACUGAAAUCCUCCAAGCUUGCAUUUGCUACUUUAAAACUCUUCGGACGGUAAUGAAUAUGGAUGGGGAAUAGUUGUCUAUGAAUAUGGAGGAGCGGGUGCGUGGAGGAUGGACGACUACUUAACAUUAACCGCUGGUAACCUUUCCUCGGGUCUGACUUCCCCGCAAUAUUAUCCCGAGAAGGGUCAGCCCCCGAUGCUUUUUUGCAAAAUAUGAUUAGUCACUUCUUCCCACAUGUGCCUGCCCCUGGACCUUAUUUGCCAUCCUAUAUAAUUAUUAGAAGAAUCUUCUAAUUUUAUUUGAAAUUCUAAGCUGACACUUAUGUCAAAGUGCCACGACACAGUAUUGUGUGUAAUUUCUCUUUUGUUAGCCUCAUUUGGGCUCCUGAAGAAUUAACACUCAGAGGAAAGAACCACCCCAUUCACUUCCUUAUUGCCACAGUUCCCUGCUGGACCUCCUAACUGUCGCCUGGAGGAACGGUUCCAAAAAGGUCCCACAUUCCUGUCCCCUCCCAGGAGUAAUUCGUGUUCGUUGUAAAGCUUGGGAGCACAGCAUACUACACAAUUCAACUACAAUUCAUCUGUGUUCUCACCAGCCGUCCACAAACUGCCAUGUAAGAGAUCUAGCUUUUUUCAUGCAUGUACCUAGGUGAGUAUCAAUGGAUAUACUUUUGAGACAAAAAUAAGACCAUGUUUUUAUGCUGUGUCCCAAUCUACGCUCUCCUGCGUGUGCUUCCUAAACAUGAUUCCUGCUAUUAAAUUUUUUUUUAAGAUUUUAUUUAUUUAUUCGACAGAGAUAGAGACAGCCAGCAAGAGAGGGAACACAAGCAGGGGGAGUGGGAGAGGAAGAAGCAGGCUCAUAGCAGAGGAGCCUGAUGUGGGGCUCGAUCCCAUAACGCCGGGAUCACGCCCUGAGCCGAAGGCAGACGCUUAACCGCCGUGCCACCCAGGCGCCCCCCUGCUAUUAAAUAUUCUUACCUGUGAUUCUAAGCCCGCAUGGUGUUGCAUCAUGGAGAUGGGCUGUCAUUUACUCACCAGGCCCCUGUUAUGGCAAUUAGGUCAUUUCCAGUUUUUCUCUGCAAACACUAGCUUUGGUUACUCCCUUUUCAGAUUUAGAAACACUGGGACAGACUGGGAAAUCGAAUACUAGACUUUGGUUGAGACGGAGGGGAUGAGUGUAAGGGUGAAUUGAGAAUGAUACCCAGUUUUCAAGCUUUGGUCACCUGGGAAGAUGAUGGUGGCUCAGGAUGGAGGAAAGAUGAUGAGUUUUGCGGCGAGUCUGACACCGAGUUGUUAGACAAUAGAGGUGCCUGAUGGCCAAGUACAAACAAGGGUCUGGGCUUGAGAUAGCCAUCAGGAGUGAACUUCCUCAAGGUGGGAUUGAAGGCUUUAGCACAGGGCUGUCCAAGAGAAGUUUAACGCAAACCACGAGUGUCAUCUUUAUAUUUCUCUCGGCCAGAGUAAAAACAUAAGUUAAAAGAAACGGGUGAGAAUAUUUUAAUAAUGUAUUUUAUUUAACCCAGUGUAUCCAGACUAUGGUUGCCCUGUGUGACACUUGCUACAUUUUAAGUGCUCAAUAGCCUUACGUGGUUAGUGAUUACCAUAGUGCACUGGGCAGCCUUGGGGCAUCAUAUCAUAGCAGCAUUCCCUUUGUCCCCAGGCCAUAUUUGAUAAUACCUGGAGACAUUUUUGUUGUCACCACUGGAGAAGAUGCUAUGGUACCUCGUGAAUAAAGGCCAGGGAUUUAGCAGAACAUCCCCCGUUUGCAUAGGGAAGUCCCCCAAGCAAAGAAUCAUCCAGCCCAGAUUGUCUUUGGGGCCAAGGUUGAGAAACAGUGUGGUGGGCAGCUAAUAUUUGUUCAAGGGGUCAUGGAGUUCAUUAUGUGUCAGGCACGUGAGAGAAGCCUCAUGGCAUCCUCAGGGCAACCCUAUGAAAUAGGCAUUAUUGACAUCCCCUUAUUACUGAUGAAUUAACUGAGGUCUAGAGAAGUUAGGUGCAUCUGUCCAAGGUCCUGGAGCUGGGCUUCGAACUCAGACUGUCUGAGUCAAGAGUAGAGAGUGGCUACGUGGAAGAAAGCUUCGGCAUUACCUUCAGUUUGAGACCUCAUCUGCAGUUCCUAAGGAAUAAACAUGGCACUACUGUAUUCCUCUUUUAUCUGUGAAUUAUUUUUAUUAAGCGUGUUCACUUCAUCAUAUCGUGUGGUCAAGCGGAAGACUGUCUAGUCUCACGUGGCUACUGAUGGGCUCUGUAGUCUCGGACAGGUCAAUUAAACACCCUGAAUUCGAGGCAUUUUCAUCUGUAAAAUGGGCACAAGUAACACCUCACGGGAUUCACGUGGGGCCUGAACGCAUUAAUGUGUUUGGAAGCCUUGAACACCUCUCCACCGGGUGCUUGAGAACUCUGAGGCAGGACUGUAUCACCACAUCCUUGGUCUCAACAAUCUGUCACCGGUAAAGGAAAGGCUCCGAUGCCAGAUUUUUGGAGAACCAGGAGAAUGUGCCCGUCUCAUCCUCUUGAAGCUCUCCAUCGCGCGAACGAGAUGCUGGUCAACAGAACGAUGUUUCUUGAGCAUUUCAGAGAACAGUCCUUGCCAGAACUCUUCCCUGUGCCUGGUGCCUUGAAACAUUUUAGAAGCCGUCUGAUUUCUGAGGCAGAAUAAAGCUGAAGAGGGGUAACAUCCAAAAUAGCACAUUAAAAAAAAAAAAAAAAGUCUGAGCAAGGGCAUUUGCAGUAUGGAAGCAGAAUGUUAAUUGAAAUCUGACUUUGCCAACAGGAGCUUUGGAAAGAGCCCAGUCAGGAUUCGACUAAUUAAGACAUCUUCAAAAUUGAACAGGUUGGACUGUCUUAAAGAAGAAUUGAACCAAAUGAAAACUAUAUGCUAAGGAAUGUGACGCUAGAGGCUUGGAAAAGGAAAACAAACAAACCUGAGAAUACUUAUGGGAAAGUCAAAGGAAGGCAGGAGAGAUUCUGGCUCUGUGGACUUGAGCUUGUCAAACAUGCCAGGCUGGAAACCACAUUUCCUAACGUGUCUCUGACGUUGGCCGGUUGAUUUCGUUGUUAGGCCGAUGCGCCGUUCACACCACCUAGCAGAGAAGCUGGUUUCCUUCUGUUGGCGCUCGUGGAUGUUUUUUAGGGACCAUUUUCCUCAUCCUUGCACCACUCCGUGAAAACCCAAAAUAUCCAAACAGAGCUCGUGUUUAUUGCACAGCAUUGUGUAUUUUUUAAGAUGUGUUCACGCGGCUUAUCUCUCGGCUUCCCCUCCUUUGUUUCCUACCGAGCCAAUCAAGAAGUCUUUAUUUUAAUGCGUUGCUAAAUAAAGUAGUCGUUCUACAAAAAGCACAGAUAAGACGCCUAAUUUUUAAGGUUGUGCUAAGUACUGAGUUAGCCUGACAGCCUAUAUUUAGGAUAAUGAUUUAUUUGCUCUUCGGGAAAGCUAACAAUUUGCCGUAAAAUUUUGGAUACAAAAGGUGAGGUUAUACCAACGACACAAUAUAAUCAAUAGUGUUCCUCAGUACAUCGGAAGAUUCCAGUCCUACCGAAAAAUAUUUUGACAAGACUUCAAACAGUUAAAACUUCAUCGUAUUUGCUCAUUAUUGGAAACAGUAGUGUGUGUGUGCUGACUGCAUCACAAUAAAUAUUUCUGUGAUCAGGAAACUUGUUACAGUCCAACAGCAAGUUUGCUCAAGCCUUAAAUUAUUUUUCAUAAUCUGUAAAUAAUGUUGACAUUACUUUGGCAUUAUAAUAAAUAUUAAGGCUAUUUGGAAGUGAGUACGCUAGUUAGAUGCCUGCCUAACAACACAAAUUUAUUUAUAUUAUUGGCACAUAGGAUAAGAAACAUCGCAGUCUUCUGCAUUUGGCAAACAAGGCUGACAUAUUUCGUAUUAUCAUUACAUUUGUUUGGGGGUUCAAAAGUCAUAUAAUUAAUGCGCUAAUAAACUAUUUUGUAGAGCUGUUUUUCAGAAGCACAUUACCAAAUGCUUUUUGAAUAACAUAAUAACUGAAGUCUUGUUCACAAUAAAUAGCAAUUGAUAAUAAAACAGUUAACUGAA